rnacentral:rRNA from 1 species
UACGUAGGGUGCAAGCGUUAAUCGGAAUUACUGGGCGUAAAGCGUGCGCAGGCGGACUUUUAAGUCAGACGUGAAAUCCCCGAGCUUAACUUGGGAACUGCGUUUGAAACUGGAAGUCUAGAGUACGUCAGAGGGGGGUGGAAUUCCACGUGUAGCAGUGAAAUGCGUAGAUAUGUGGAGGAACACCGAUGGCGAAGGCAGCCCCCUGGGAUGAUACUGACGCUCAUGCACGAAAGCGUGGGGAGCAAACAGG